ACUCUUAAGGGAUUAUUUUAGGGACUCCUAUUGUCGAACUUGAAAGAAAACAACUUCUGCCAAUUCUCUACACUUCUCCGUCGAUCUUGAUCUCUUGGUCUAUAACUUGUUUAAGAAUACAGAUUCCCACUUCUGUAUCUCAAUUACUGUGCCCUGAUAAGAUACUUCUCAUGUGUGAAGAGAUUAAGUCAGGUUCAAGAAGAACCCUUUUCCCCUUGUGGUUGUGUGGUUGUCAUGUAAAUUCUCUCAAGAAUUCUUGUCAGUACUUUCAUCGUGGCUUGUGUUUGGGCUGUAUUCAGCAGCUGUGGUAAUUCUAUUACUUGGUAGGAUUAAACGACAAACUGCAAAAGGAGAGAUUUUUGUGGUGUCAUGGAUCCAAAACUGACUACAGGAGGUUAACAAGUCAAGAUUCAAGAAGGUUUUCUUAUCAGUUAAACCUCAUGCUGUUCCUUGAUUGCUGUCAAAUUCGAUGCCUGCUGCUUCCAAGCCUUUAAAGCUGAAAUUUAAGCUAGAAUUCAGAGCUGGAGCUCUAGUUACUUCUAUUUUGUGUGGCAUCCCUGUUGUAUAGCAUUCAAAAUUUGUAUGCUUACAAAGAAUAUAAGCAAAGAAAUUGAGGAAAUGGUUAACAACUUCUUAUGAAAAGGAGAGGGCACUACAGUCUGCAUCGAUAGGAGCACGAGUUUCUGCCUUUUUAUGCAUAUGAAUUGGUCCUGAGAGCCGAUGGUAUCAACAGCAUUAGACGUAUGAUGCAAAUUCUAGUGAUCAAGACUGGAGCAUCCAGAGCAGAAUUAAGCAGAAGGAAUUGACUGAAUCUAACAACGUGUAUAGGGUUGAUAAAGCCAAGGAUUUUGCUGAAUCAAAUUCGUACUCUGUGUAGGCUAAAGUUCCAGCCAUUUGCGCUGGAAAGAGGGCAGUUGAUAUCCAAUAAUUGAUGUCAAUUUUAUUGGAUCAUCAUUCAAGUGGCAGUAAUAGCUGAUGUUUUCCUUAUCUGUUAGCUAUUAGCAGGAGUCUAAUUAUUAGUAACUGUUGCUUUGUAAAACUAUAUAUAGAAAAUUAAUAGUUCCAGUGGGAUGUGUUGUAAUGAAAACCUAUUUGUUAUUUGGUGUGAUCUGGGAGUGAUUUUGUUGAGUGGAAUGAGGUUUCUUGUUUCU